AGGAGGAGAAGGCAGCCCCUGGGACUGGCUGUCAGCCAGACUGACAAACAGCCGACUUCCUCCUCCCCCUCCUCCUCCCCCUCCUCCUCCUCCUCCUCCUCCUCCUCCUCCUCUCCUCCUCCUCCUCCUCCUUCUCCUCCGUCAGCCUUAGCGGUUGUAGGGCUGGCGCAAUUGUGAUAGCCCCCCCCCAACUCCCAUCCCAUUGCCAGCCCCCCACUGGUCUCUGGGAAGGAGGAGGAGCCCCGAUUGACCCCGCCCUCGCCGGGGUCCCCUCCUUCUGUCCCUAGCUGCCAGGCAGCAGCAUCCACUAUCCAGUGCCUGCCUGCUGCCGGCGCGCUCUGUGCCCAGGGAGCAGCGGCGCUGCCCAGCGGCGCGGGAGCCGGGAGCGCGGCUGGACAGGGCAGGGCUGGGCAGGGCAGGGCUGGGCUGGGCUUACCCAGUGCUGAGGGCUCCCUGCUGCUGCUCCCGCCUGCCCGCCUUCCUGCCCGGGGCCUCCAGCUCUGGGAGUAGAUCAUUGUAAAGUCUUUCCCUGGAAGCAUUUCUCACUCCCUUGACAUCAUGAAAAUGGGACUGGCCUGCUCCAAAGACUUAAUUCAGUUUCUUCCCAGCUUCAGCUACGAAGGCUGACAGCUGGAUCCUCCAGCAGUGGUGACCACUCCUUGAAGAAAAUGGGGUGUGAAUUGAGCCAUUGAAAGAGUACAGAAAAACCCCUGCCAGGUGGGAAAAAUUCUCAAACUACUGGACGCCCAGAGAGAAACCCACGUCUUUUUCAGCACCAGAGAACUAAAGACUGCAGAGGAGACUCGGUAUCAUCAUGGCGUGCAUAGUUCCCAGGCAUUUGUGGUUGUUUCCAGGGACUGUUGAGUUGUAUGCAAUCCCCCUGGGGAGUGUCAGGUUACCCACAAGUCUGUUUUGCUGAAUAAUGUGAUAGAAGAGAAGCUGAGGUCACUAGUAUGCGUUUUAAAGGAGAUCCUAGAAAGAGGAGGAACCCUUUUCAAGAGAAAGAACCUUCUUAACUUCUAGCUUUUUA
rnacentral:lncRNA from 1 species